CGCGUAGGCGGCUCGGAAAGUCGGGCGUGAAAUGCCGGGGCUCAACCCCGGGACUGCGUCCGAUACUUCCGAGCUGGAGGUAGGUAGGGGAGAUCGGAAUUCCUGGUGUAGCGGUGAAAUGCGCAGAUAUCAGGAGGAACACCGGUGGCGAAGGCGGAUCUCUGGGCCUUACCUGACGUUGAGGCGCGAAAGCUAGGGGAGCGAACA
rnacentral:rRNA from 1 species